rnacentral:lncRNA from 1 species
ACUACCACUACUACUCAACUACCACUACUGAUACUACCGAUACUAAUACUACUACUACUCAACCACUACUACUACUCAACCACUACUACUACUACUGAUACUACUACUACUACUGAUACUACUACUACUACUACUGAUACUACUACUACUACUACCACCACUACUACUACUACCACCACUACUACCACUACCGCUACUACCACCACUACUACUACUACCACCACCACUACUACCACCACCACUACUACCACCGCUACUACUACUACUACUACUACCACUACCACUGCCACUACUACCACCACUACCACUACUACCACUACCACUACUACUACUGAUACUACUACUACUACUGAUACUACUACUACCGCUACUACCACCACUACUACCACCGCUACUACUACUACUACUACUACUACUGAUACUACUACUACUACUACUACUGAUACUACUACUACUACUACCACCACCAUUACUACCACCGCUACUACUACUACCACUGCUACUACUACCACUACUACUACUACCACUACUACCACUACUACUCAACCACUACUACUACUACUGAUACUACUACUACCGCUACUACCACCACUACUACCACCGCUACUACUACUACUACUACUACUACUACUACUACUACUACUACUACCGCUACUACCACUACUACCACCACCGCUACUACCACUACUACUACCACCGCUACUACCACUACUACUACCACUACCACUACUACCACCACUACUACUACUACCACUACCACCACCACUACUACCACCGCCACUACUACCACCGCUACUACUACUACUACCACUACUACUACUACUACCACUACUACUACCACCACUACUACUACCACUACCACUACUACUACCACCACUACUACUACCACUACCACAACUACCACCACUACUACUACUACCACUACCACCACCACCACUACUACUACUACUACCACCGCCACUACUACCACCGCUACUACUACUACUACCACUACUACUACUACCACUACUACUACCACCACCACCACUACUACUACCACUACUACUACCACUACUACCACUGCUACUACUACUACUACCACCACCACCACCACCACUACUACUACUACCACUACUACUACCACUACUACUACUACUACUACUACUACUACUACCACUGCUACUACUACCACCGCUACUACUACUACUACCACUACCACCACCACUACUACCACCGCCACUACUACCACCGCUACUACUACUACUACCACUACUACUACUACUACUACCACUACUACUACCACCACUACUACUACCACUACCACUACCACCACUACUACUACCACUACCACAACUACCACCACUACUACUACUACUACUACCACCGCCACUACUACCACCGCUACUACUACUACUACCACUACUACUACUACCACUACUACUACCACCACCACCACUACUACUACCACUACUACUACCACUACUACCACUGCUACUACUACUACCACCACCACCACUACUACUACCACUACUACUACUACUACCACCGCCACUACUACCACCGCUACUACUACCACUACCACUACUACUACUACCACUACUACUACUACCACUACUACUACCACCACCACCACUACUACUACCACCACUACUACCACCACCACCACUACUACUACCACUACCACUACUACCACUGCUACUACUACUACUACUACUACCACCACCACCACUACUACUACCACCACCACCACUACUACUACCACCACUACUACUACCACUACCACUACUACCACUGCUACUACUACCACUACUACUACCACCACCACCACCACUACUACUACCACCACCACCACUACUACUACCACUGCUACUACUACUACUACCACCAAUACUACUACUACCACUGCUACUACCACUACUACUACUACUACCACUACUACCACUACUACUAACAGCACUGUUACCUUUAUUCUUCUCCGUCUCCAGUUUCUCUAGUCGUUCCUGGAAUAGAAAGAGGGUCCAAUCAGACCGUUUCAAAACACUUUACAGUUGA